GCGGGGGUAGCCUAGCCUGGUAUGGCGCUGGCCUGCUAAGCCAGUGAUCGUAUGAUCGCGCGAGUUCAAAUCCCGCCCCCCGCG
rnacentral:tRNA from 1 species